UACGUAGGGUGCGAGCGUUAAUCGGAAUUACUGGGCGUAAAGCGUGCGUAGGCGGUUCGCUGUGUCCGAUGUGAAAGCCCCGGGCUUAACCUGGGAAUGGCAUUGGAAACUGGCGGGCUUGAGUGCGGCAGAGGGGGGUAGAAUUCCGCGUGUAGCAGUGAAAUGCGUAGAGAUGCGGAGGAACACCGAUGGCGAAGGCAGCCCCCUGAGUCGACACUGACGCUCAGGCACGAAAGCGUGGGGAGCAAACAGG
rnacentral:rRNA from 1 species